CUUAAUUUCUUUCCCCUUGUCGCUCCUUCUUCCCCCUUCUCGUUCCUUUUUCCCCCAGCCGCCGCAAUGUUCCGCCCACCCUGGCAACACCGUCGUCGACCUGGCCCGUCCAGAUCGGCCGGCAAAGCGCUGCCACCCCCACCCUCUUCAUCAAGCAUGCCGCCUCCCUGCACCCCUAACCCAUGCCGCCCCUCCCGCACCCCGAGUCCUUGACCCACGCCGCCACCUAGUCCCCUCGACGGCCGGCACCCGCGCGCCCUCCGACCCAUGCCGCCACCCAGUCCCCAUCGGCGACGACCUACACCCACGCUUCUGACGUCUCACGCUGCCACCCAGUCCCCAUCGGUGAUGACCUACACCAGCAAUCCACGCCGCCGCCCGUCCCCAUCGAUCCACUUUGCAACCAUGCCCCCACCCAGAACCGCCGCCCCAUUCCUCGAGCACGACGCUGCCUCAGCCCCCUCACCACCCAUGUCGCUGUCCCAAUCCCCCACCACGAAACCUCCCCAUUCCCUUCGCCAUUGCCGCCUCUGCUUCACAUCGCAUAGUAGCACGACGUCUUGUGUCAAAGGAGAAGGUCCAAGUGAAGUGUUUGAGUUUUUGUCAAACCAAUAGCAACAUCCUCAGAGUGAGUCGCAGCUACAGGCCGCCCUUGAGCUCUGUUCAUACUUUUUUUAUUGUGUUGUGACAUGCAGGUUUUUGUUGUUGUGUUGAUUUAUUAAAUUUGGCUAUGAGUCUAACUGGAUCUGAUAGGUAAGAGGCUCAAGCUGAACCCCUGACCCUCUUAUGUCUCUCCAUGUGCCUUCUUAUCCGGUGAAGGAUACACCAGCGCCAGCCACGUACUGGUCAAGAUCGAUGGUUAGUGGCCCUGCUCUGCCCGCAUAUAGCCUUAAUGGGGAUGCUGUCUAUGUUAGCUUAGUGCAGAAUUAGAUAAGGCCAGGUACUUUACUAAAUCGUUGUCCUAUGCCACAUUGCUAAAUACAGUAAUUAUUUGGGAAGUUUACAUCCACUGAAUUUCUAUCUUGGCAAAAGCAGAUCCUGAUUUGGUGCUGAUUUUUGCCAUCUGCAACUCCUUUUUUUAGUUAUAAUUAUGUUGAGAACUAGUAAGAUUCACACAAACAUCUCAUUUUGUAUAAUUUAAUUUAUCCUGAGAGAUAGGCUUUAUAGUACCUUAUUUCCUAAUAGCUGCAUAAAUAACCCAAUAAGCCUUCAGUCCUACAUGAGUUUUCAGUUACGUUUGUAAUUGCCUCUUUUGCUCUGAUUUUUGGUUCUCAGCUAGCCAUAGUGAUAUCAUCAGAGACGUGUUUUAGGUAUGAUAGCAGGGGUGUUUGACAUAUGUGCUCGGCCAGGGAAUCAUUCCAGAAUGUACCAUAUGUCAAACACCCCUGCUAUCAUACCUAAAAAAUAGUAUAGGACGGACUGAAAAAUGAAAAGAAAAGAAGAUAUGCGCCUAGCGGUAAAUACUUGUUUGUUUGAUUGCCAUAUCUAAUUAACAUAUUCAUGCCCAGCUUCCUGGCAUAUGUAAUUCCGGUUAUAUUUUAGCGUGGCUUCAACAAGAACAACCUCGCUGAUUACGUUGAUCAACAAGAGUACGCCUAAAACAUGACGCUGGCUAUUAUUCUUCUAAUAUUUAUCUUUCAUAUCCGUCCUUGUGUUGAUCAAUUCCUGUGUGCUCUAAUUAGUGCUAGUUCAAACUCAUUACCUAGAGAUAUCAUAAAUCAUUCCAAACAGGCCCUCUGUGGUUUUUUGUUGGGUGUACGAAUUGAAGCUAAAGAUGAAGUUGCAGUUAAUGGUCAUCCAUCUUGCUGCGAUUUCAACAUUAUCUCUGUUUUAUUUUGACCCUUUUAUUUUUUGGCAGUAAUGUUAGUCGUGAGAUAAGUGGCACCACUAAGUCAUAGGGAACUUGCUCUGCUUUUAUUUUGACCCUUGUGGAAUUCGGACCUCCUCUUUCUUGCAAGUAGUUGUCCAAAUGGAUUUGUGGAACAUGUGUUCUUCCGAGCUGAUCUAAUUGGCCGCUUCUUUUUUUACAGGUCAUCGGUAUAAUUCUUUUGCAUCCACAAAUUUGAAGAGGUGUGUUUUGUGAGCUAAAAGGAUGUUCUGUUGGGUUCUGUUUCUCUGUGUUCUAUUUCUAUUAACUGAAACAAGAUGUUAUAUUUGGCGCUUUUGUCUAUGGUGCAAUAACCUACAAAUGUAUGCCUAUGUGUGCAUGGGCAUACAUGAAGGAUCGUUGUGUUGUAAUACUGUACUUGUGAACCUAUAUAUGCUUGUAUACAUCAUGGAUUGUUGAGAUACAUA